rnacentral:rRNA from 1 species
AGCGAACGUUUGCGGCGGGCUUAACACAUGCAAGUCGAACGAGAAUCCCUUCGGGGAGGAAAGUGGCGCACGGGUGCGUAACACGUGGAUAACCAACCCAUUGGUUUGGGACAACACCGGGAAACUGGUGCUAAUACCAGAUGUGUCGCAGCUGUCUUCAGGCGGUUGCGAGAAAGGCCCGCAAGGGUCGCCAACGGACGGGUCCGCGUCCCAUCAGCUAGUUGGUGAGGUAAUGGCUCACCAAGGCAAAGACGGGUAGCUGGUCUGAGAGGAUGAUCAGCCACACUGGAACUGAGACACGGUCCAGACUCCUACGGGAGGCAGCAGUGGGGAAUAUUGCGCAAUGGGCGAAAGCCUGACGCAGCCACGCCGCGUGAGCGAUGAAGGUCUUCGGAUCGUAAGGCUCUGUGGGGGGAGAAGAAGAAAGCCGGUGAAGAGCCGGCCCUGACGGUAUCCCCUUAGCAAGCACCGGCUAACUCCGUGCCAGCAGCCGCGGU